rnacentral:rRNA from 1 species
CCUACGGGAGGCAGCAGUGGGGAAUCUUCCGCAAUGGGCGAAAGCCUGACGGAGCGACACCGCGUGGAGGAUGAAGGAUUUGUUUUUGUAAACUCCUUUUCUGUGGGAAGAUGAUGACGGUACCACAGGAAUAAGGGACGGCUAACUACGUGCCAGCAGCCGCGGUAAUACGUAGGUCCCAAGCGUUAUCCGGAAUUACUGGGCGUAAAGCGUCUGUAGGCUGAUGGAAAAGUUUGAUGUUAAAGACCAGGGCUCAACCCUGCGUUUGCAUCGAAAACUCUUCAUCUAGGAUCAGGGAGAGGCAAGCGGAAUGGUUGGAGUAGGGGUGCAAUCCGUAGAUACCAACCAGAACACCAAAAGCGAAGGCAGCUUACUGGAACUGUAUCGACGUUGAGAGACGAAAGCGUGGGUAGCGAAAAGGAUUAGAUACCCGAGUAGUC